GGAGGACUGCCUGAGCCCAGGAGUUCUGGGCUACAGUGCACUAUGCCAAACGGGUGUCUGCACUAAGUUCAGAAUCAAUAUGGUGACCUCCCAGGAGCAGGGGAUUACCAGGUUGCCUAAGGAGGGUGAACUGGCCCAGAUUGGAAACUGAUCAGGUCAAAACUCCCAUGCUGAUCAGUAGUGGGACUGCACUCCAGCCUGGGCAACAUAGUGAGACCC
rnacentral:SRP_RNA from 1 species